GACAGAGGGGGCAAGCGUUGCUCGGAAUCACUGGGCAUAAAGGGCGCGUAGGCGGGAUGGCAAGUCAGUCGUGAAAUCUCUCGGCUCAACCGAGAAACGUCGGCUGAUACUGCCGUUCUUGAGGGAUGCAGAGGAGACUGGAAUUCCCGGUGUAGCGGUGAAAUGUGUAGAGAUCGGGAGGAACACCGGUGGCGAAGGCGGGUCUCUGGGCAUCUCCUGACGCUGAGGCGCGAAAGCGUGGGGAGCAAACGGG
rnacentral:rRNA from 1 species